rnacentral:misc_RNA from 1 species
CCAGUAAGCCGGGACGAUGCAGAUUAGUUGCGACAGUCUCCAGCCGUGGAGCGUCGGUCCUCAGCGGCGCCCUGCUCAGUGUCAUCCUUACCCGCCGACCCGCUAACUCCCUGGCGAGUUACCCGUACCACAUCCUGUUAUACUCAUGUUAUGUAAACUGAAGUCGAGAUCUGAACCCACGGUGUGUCACUGAAUUGUCAACGAUGCUACCCUUGAAGGCCUGGCAGCCUCUCCUGGUCGCUCUACUGCUUCUUGUAAACCUUGCCACUAGCAGCCCGGUGCUGCAAGGUGAUAACGAUUAUAAUUACAACUACGAUGACUAUGAACAAGCAGAUGAGCAGAAAACAAAAUCCAUUCCCCCGGACCCUGAACCGGUUGUAAUGCAGAAAGUUACGACGAAAUCAGUACGAGAAAUAGAACCUAAACCAGCUGCAGAUCUGAAAACGACGACGAAGUUAGGACUUGAAGUAAAACCUGAUAUAGCCGCUGAUCUGAAAGCUACGACAAUGUCUGGACUUGGAACAAAACCAGAACCAGCUGCUGAUCUAAAGACUACGACGAAAUCCGGACGCGGAACAGAAUCCAAAACCGUCGUCGAGCUGAAAGCUUCGACGAAGUCAACACCCGGAGCGGAACCUAAGACACCUGGAGACCCGAUACAAUUCCCCGAAAUUGAUCCUGAGCGAGAAUCAGGAGCACCGGUUGACGUCGAAGAGACGGACUACUCGCAGUCGCUGCUGAACGCUACAUCUACGCCAGAAGCGACUGAGGCGGACGAGCGGGGUGAGGUACCUCAACCAACUCCCAAACCUCUUCCCGCAAGCUGCACACAGCCUCCGAGCCCGGGGCUGUGUCGAGGCCACUACCCAAUGUUCUACUUCGACCCCGCGACCAACACCUGUCAACAGUUUGUGUACGGCGGCUGUCGAGGCAACGAGAACAUGCACAAGACAGCCACGGAAUGCUACGCCAAGUGCCACCCAGCUGCCCUCAACGUGUGGAACAAGCACCAGCUUGGUAGGUCAUCACCACACGACUACCUGACCUUACACGAUGGUACGGGCGUCACCUCCCUCACCUUCGUCAGCCGCAACCCAUCUCUCAGGGUCGACGACAAGACGCUGGCUCACUUCUCCAUCAACAACACCUACCAGUUCGACUUGUACUUCAGGACGGACUCUCCCCACGGGCUCCUCGCCUUCCUGCGUCAGGUAUCGGCGCCGGAGGAGCCGCAAGGAGUGAGGAUCCAGCUGUACAUCUUCCUGAAGAGAGGCCACCUGGCAGUCACUCACGUCUUCGAUAACACGACUGAAACAUUCAUCAUGGAGAAAGGAGGGCUGCAAGAUAGCAGCUGGCACCAUGCCAUAGUCAAGGUGACGGCAACCACGGGGGAUCUGACGGUGGAGGUGGACAACAUCCAGGAGAACUUCACCGUCGCCAGCCUCGCAGACCGACCCGGGUACUCCAGGGGCAGCUACGCCCUCCAGGACCUCGCCUCCAGACUCUGGAUCGCGGGAGUGGACAAGAAGAGCCUGGAGGAGGAGGAGGUGGUGGUAGGCUUGGUGCCGUUCCACGGGUGUAUGCGGCAGGUGGGGGUGGCGAGUGGUGGCACUCCCAUGGGUAUGGUGCCAGUCCGUCCCCUUCUCACCUCCACGCAUCAUGGCGUCCGGGAACACUGCAACAAUAACUGCAAAGAUCGUUACCGUAACCUGUGCUCCCCGUCAUCGCACUGUGUUGAGCACUUCGACCACAGCACUUGCAGCUGCUUCAACAGCGGUCAGGACGGCAGGAGGUGCGCCAACCCUGAGCUGCCAGUGUUGACUUUGAACAGUGAAGGUUACGUGGUCCACCGUAUCUACGAGUGGGUGGAUCGCGUUCAUUCCUACAACAACCUCAUCUCCAUAGAGUUCAAGACAGAGUUUACGAGCUCGAUCCUGUUCUACGCCUCGGCCGAGCACCCGGAGAAGCAGCACCUGUCUGCCUCCAUCACCGGCGACGGCAGGAUUUACUUCGAGGCUGACUUCGGAGAAGGGGUGGUGAGGGCCCUGGUGGGGGAGAGGCUGAACUCGAGCCACUGGUACACCUUCACCGUCAUCCACCAGCACGAGAAACUCAAGGUGUACCUGGACUCGAAGCUUAAACAAACUCUCAUCGUGCCUGGGAAGGUCCAUUACCUCCAUCUAGACCCGGACUUGUACGUCGGCAACCUUCCCGGACUUAACCGGUUGUGUGGGCUGACCAAGGACCUGGGCACGCCGGAGUGCCCUCAGGAGGCGCAGCAGCGUUACCACUACGACGUCCACUCCGCCACCUGUCGCCCCUUCAACUACACCGGCUGCGGAGGCAAUAACAACAGCUUCGUUGACCACGCCACCUGCAUGGACUCCUGCUACACCGUUGGUCUGAGGUCUCUCAAUUCCUUCCUGGGUUGCUUGAGGAACGUCUUCUUUAAUGACGUCAGCAUCCUGCAGCAGCUGCACCAGGGAAACAGAUCCACCCGAUACAUUGGCAUGACCGAGGAACCACCUCUGUCAACCACCUGCAAUAGGAUGGAUGAGGUACAAGUCACACUGUCUACAGCCAGCUCCAGCAUUCUCCUGCACAACCAUAAUCCUAAUGAUUUCCGACUUAAAGUGUCCUUCAGGCCUACGACACCUCGCAGCAUUCUCGCCUCUGGUCAGGUGUACGUUCGUGACACCUGGAACGUGUGGCAGAUGCGUCACGACCAGAACUACGUCUAUUUUGACGUGCAUGACGACGUAGUCCACCUCAAACCCGAUGGCAGAAUAAAAAUCGGCGACUGGCAGUAUGUGGAACUGCGGCAGGAGAAAGACCUCCUGAUCAUGAAGGUCAACCAGAUGACCACCUCGAAAAAGACCUCAGGAAGCCUUCAGUUCUCCUCCCAAGUGACCAUUGGGGCCAGCAUCCUAGGAGACGAAACAGGAUUUAUUGGGUGCUUGAGGAUGUUGGAGUUAGGAGGAGAGAUGGUGAACUUGCGCUCCAUCGUGGGAACUCCCAUGGUCAGCAAGGACGUCACUUUUGACAACUGUCAGGUGUUGGGCCCUUGUGAGCGGCCAGGGUCGUGCGGACACGGAGCCCCUUGUACCGUGGCUGGGGAUGGUGUCCAGUGUAACUGCUCAGGCACGGGCUACACGGGCAAAACGUGUCACUUCCCGUUGUAUAGGAAGUCGUGUGAACAGUACCGCCAGAUCGGCUACAACACGUCAGGGAUCUACAAGAUCGACGUGGACGGCAGUGGUCCUCUGCCUCCCGGCUUUGUCAGAUGCCUCUUCAGCGAGCUGACGGGGGAGACCUUCACCAUCAUCGAACACAACCUGCCGCAGAGUUUUGACGUGAGGAGACCGAAGAUGUCCAGCGUCCAGAUCAAGGUCCACUACAGAGACUUCUCCGACGAUAUGCUUAAGGCGUUGGUUAGCCAAUCCAAGUCCUGUUCUCAGAAGGCGAGGUACAACUGCCGGAGGUCCCCUCUAAGGCUCUCCACCAUGACCUGGUUCUCCUCCCCUUCAGAGAAAAUUAUCACCAGCUUCGGGGCCAAGACUCCUGGGUUGUGUAGGUGCAAAGAAAUGAGAUCGUGUGACAAGAUGGACAUCCCGUGCAACUGUGACGCUAACGAUGGGCUUCCAAGAGCAGACAAGGCGGUGAUCACUAACCCCAGACACCUGCCUCUCACCUCCAUGGUCUUCCUGCAGGAUCAUCAAGGACAGCGAGAGGACACCGAGGGACUCAUCACGCUAGAGCCCCUCAAGUGUGUUAGCGACGUUCUGGAGGGGCAGACGGUGGCCUUCAAGCACUCCGGCAGCUUUCUGGAGGUGCCGGCGUGGCGGGAGGGCAGCCUCUUUCUCAGCUUCAAGACCACCUCCAAGAAGGCGAUAGUGGCCUACCAACCAGCCUACCACCCAAGUCACGCCAGUUUCAAGGUCGCUCUCGUUGGAGAUAAGGAGGUGGAGUUCAUGUACAGGUUUCGGGACCAGAUCUACCGGCACCGCGUGGCGUCCAGCGGUCGCCUCAACACCGGCCGGUGGCAGCAGCUGCACAUCGACAUUCAUGACUACCAGAUGCGUCUCGUCCUUAAUUCUGACGAGGGUCUCAUCGACAUCGACAGAAAUGUCAACCUCGGAGUCCUCGAUGGCUCCAUGUUCCUGGGGGCCAUCCCUCAGCAAUUCCUGACUGAGGAAGAUAAGCAGGACAAACUGGAGGGCUUUAUCGGCUGCAUCCGCGGGCUGGCCCUCAACGACGAGCUGGUGGACCUGAAGGCGUUCGUCAGAGCCUCGGCUAAUGGGGUCAGUUCGGGCUGUUCGCCUUCCUGCGACCCCAACCCCUGCAGGAACGGUGCAUUGUGCCUUGAAAGCUGGGGAACGUAUCAGUGCAGCUGUAAAAACCCUCUCGCUCACUCUGGAAGAAACUGCGAAAAUAAUAUCAACGAAGACGCCCUCACCUUCACCACGGAGGACUCCAAGUUCAAGUACUUUUUGGACGACAUAGAAAAACUCGGGGACAAGAAUCUGCUCAAAAACAGUUUUCUUAUCAACUUCCGCACUCAUGUGAAGAAGGGACUUAUUCUCUUCGCUUACGACUAUCUCCACAACUUUGUACAGUUGUACUUAGCCCAGGAGAACGAGGUGGUGUUCCUCUACAACCAUGGCUCUGUGGUGAAGAAGCUGGCGGUGAAGGCUCACAAUGGCGUGGUGUUCAACAAGGGGCAGUCCGUACAGCUGUCAGUGACCCGGACGGCCGCUUCCACUACUGUCUCCGUCUACACCGACGGCGCCACCUUCAACGCCUCCCUGGACGCCGGCGUGUUGCUUCUACAGGACCACGAGUACAAGCAGUUCCCCUUCGGUGCUAGACAACCUCUGCCCGAGAUAGUGUACUACCCGCACUCGGUCACCAAACCCACGCAUUUCUUCCAGGCCUACCUGGGCUCAGGCAGCGACAACGAGUUCGAUGUCACGUCUGUCAUCCCGGGUAUUGUGGGCUGCGUCAGAGGCCUUAAGAUUGGCUCGAAGGUCAUCUCCCUGAUCGACCUUUACCACAAGUCGACAUUCCCUGUGGACGGCAUCAAGGUCAACUGUACGAUGGCGUGCGACCGGCGGCCGUGUCUCAAUGGUGGGGUUUGUACCGAAGACUUCCACUACUUCAACAACUUCCAGUGUGACUGUACCGGAACCUCGUACACUGGCCCUACUUGUGUCGGCGAGACUUCGUAUAUCUUCUCUGGUCAUCAAUGGAUCAGCCAGGACGCGGCCACUUCUCCCAUCAGGAAAGACUUCAGAUUCGAGCUGGCAUUCUCCACCUCCGUGCCAGGCUCACGGCCCCAGCUAGUUGCUCUCCUCCGUUCCACAGACCUCCAAACGGCCCACGACUACUUGCUGGUGGCAGUGGAGUACGACGGGUCGCUCCUGGUGGAGGCGCAGCUGUCGGACUUGGAUCGGGAUAUGGUGUGGGGGACCAAGGUCAUUCCUUCCUCACACAACUUUAAUGCUUUUGAUGGCCACAGACAUUACGUCUUCGUGGAAAAGACGAAAAAUGGGCUCACUCUGAAGGUUGACAGGGAGGAGAGAGACGUCUUCCCGCUCCAUAACAUCUUCGUGGGUGAGACGAGUGUGAGGACCACCCCGACGGGGCUGUACCUGGGAGGGGUGGAGGCUGGUGUCGACGAUCGUCUGGGCCGCUUCGACAGCUUCCACGGUUGCAUCUCUAACGUGAAGGUACGCACUCCCGACGGGGAAGUGGCACCACUACAGCAGUACAGCGACAGUGACAUGCACCUCAGGAGCAGCGGGGUGCCAAGCUUCGGCACCUGUGCACCGUUCGCGGGUGCCCCUGGCGCCCUGCCCGUCCACACCAGCAGUCUCAAUCUGUCCGGGGUGAUGGGAGAGGACUGGGCCUUCAGGACUGCCGAACGGGUUCCCUUGUCGCCCAAGAUGGUCUCAUCCACACACCCGGAGAGAGACACUCCUAUGGACAAUAUUGUCCCGGCCGUUGCUGGGGGAGUUAUUCUCGUUUGCUUCAUCAUCGUCAUCGUCAUCGUCCUCAGGACGAGGAGGAAGAGUAAGCACAGGAGACUCACAUCUGACGAAGAAGAGGCUCGACCCCUCUUCAAUGGCAGCAAUGUCGACAGGCAAAAUAGUGUUAAAAUCGUUAAAAUGUCGGAGAAAGAGAUGGUGCCGUUGAUAUCGAAGCCGGAUCAUGACGAUGUAAUGGAAGGGAUCACGGCAGGUGUGCAAGCGAUACCUGCACCAGAUGUGGACACCAGGCAGCACGAGGCGUCUCCUCAGAGGACCACAGAGGGACAGGAGGCCACCACCAAGCAGGAGCCCCUGGAUGCUGUGCAGGUGCGUAGAGUGCACGACAGUGACGGUGGAGGUGGUGACGGAGGUGGUGACGGUGGUGGUGACGGUGGUGGUGAGCGACCUCUCUCUUGGGACAAAUCUUGUGACACUCUUCCACUUACCAUCGGGAACCAGGGCGAGCCAGUGAUCUGUCAGCCCACAGGAGACAGUAGCUCGGAGAGCAGUAUUGACUGCACCAUUGACAUCAACGACUCGCCCGCUUCCUCUCCUUCAACCCCAACCAAAUUGGGACACUUACCUCACGAGGAAGGUUCACCAUCGUCGACCAAGGUGCAGAGGCGCUCUCUAGGUCUACCAUUUAUCGAUGACGAAAUGCUCAUUGGCGAAAACUCAGCCAGUGUGCCUCAAAUGCUGAGCUACCGUCCACUUCCCACAGAAGACAACGGUAGUGAGAUGGGAGACCAAAAUAUUCACGGUCCCGAUGCUUUUGAAGAAGACCACGACGACAAAACCAAAGAUAUUGUAUAUAGCCAUCCGAAGGUUGGAGAUGAAGAAAUUCAGAAGAUCGUGAAUGAGGAAACGGAGGACGAUAUUGAAGUUGUUGAUGAGGAGAACUCAGAUAUUAAUAAUACAGUGGAGAUUGGGGAACAAGACAGUGAAAAGUCAGACAAUGAGGGAGCUGUAGGUAACUAUGGAGACGAAGAUGUCGACAGUAAACGAAGUUCUGAAAUCGAAGCAGUGCUUGAGGAAAUCGAGGAAACUGAAAUCAGUUACCCAAACUGCAAUACUAACCAGCCGGAGAAAAAUUUGAAAGAUCAAACAGAGGAAAAGAUGGAUAAAGAUCCAGAACUCGAUAUCAACGACCAGCUGGAGUUGAGACCUGACUCAGAACCAGAAAUAAAAGAGGAGAUAAAACCAGAAGACAAUACAUCUCCUGAGUCGACCACCAAACUUGGAGAUGUGGAGACCGACGACACGGAAAGUAAUCCACAAGAUAAAGAAAUCACUGAACCACGAUCUGACGCAGAUAACGCAAUCUCCUCCGGUUCAUCAGACUCGUCAAUCUCCUCAGAGGAGGAGGAGUUUUACACUGAACCACCAAGACCAUCUGUGGGUGCUUCGUCUUCGCCAAAAGAGACAAGUGAACCUCUAGACGAAGAUGAUGACGGUGGUUUCAUCGAACUACGUCCUGAACGAGAAGACAUCCACGACGCACGCAGAAUUUCAGCGAAGCACCCAGCUGGCAUAUGGUGAAGUUCCUUACCCAAGCACCCAGCUAUCAUACGGGUAUGGGGAAGUUUCUUACCCAAGCACCCAGCCAUCAUACGGACGUUGCAACAAUUUGAUGAUCACAAGUCAACUCUCAUCGAGAACUUGAACAUGGGUGAGGAUACGAGGCCAAGCUUGAACCACGGAAACACUGAAGAUAACAAAGGCCAGCAGCUGAGAAAUAUUGAAAUAUUGGUCGAUAUAGAGAAUCAAGACGACACAUUACAAAACAGAGACAACUACAGCAACCCAGCCAUACCUCUCA